UUGAAUUGUAUAUAAAAAGGCCAUGAAAGGGGUCUCACAACAUUUUAUUUAUUUUUCUUUGUUUACUAGGAAAUUCCAACUGAGGUUUCUCCCAUUUCCAGGGAAGACCUGGGGUGAAAGGUUCCACAGAAAAGAAUAGCUGAGCUGUUUUUGCAAGAUCUGGACUUGGAAAUUUAAUUUAGAAAUGUUCUCUGCCAUGUGGAUGCCAGGCUGUUCUUCGGGUAUUAUGACUAGCACCUGUGGAAGGCACUCAGAGGCAAGGAGGAUUGCAGCAGGAAUCGAACCAUGUACAUUGAGCUGACACAUAGGCUUGAAGAACAGCGGGGGGAGACAUGAUGUUGAUUAUUUUUGCUGUUUUAUUAAAUUAAAUGCAUCUUCCCCUUUUUACAGGCCUGUAUUUUUUCGCAAUAAAAUGUAU